rnacentral:rRNA from 1 species
GACGAACGCUGGCGGCGUGCUUAACACAUGCAAGUCGAACGGAAAGGCCCUGCUUUUGUGGGGUGCUCGAGUGGCGAACGGGUGAGUAACACGUGAGUAACCUGCCCUUGACUUUGGGAUAACUUCAGGAAACUGGGGCUAAUACCGGAUAGGAGCUCCUGCUGCAUGGUGGGGGUUGGAAAGUUUCGGCGGUUGGGGAUGGACUCGCGGCUUAUCAGCUUGUUGGUGGGGUAGUGGCUUACCAAGGCUUUGACGGGUAGCCGGCCUGAGAGGGUGACCGGCCACAUGGGGACUGAGAUACGGCCCAGACUCCUCCGGGAGGCAGCAGUGGGGAAUAUUGCACAAUGGGCCGACGCCUGAUGCAGCAACGCCGCGUGCGGGAUGACGGCCUUCGGGUUGUAACCCGCUUUCGCCUGUGACGAAGCGUGAGUGACGGUAAUGGGUAAAGAAGCACCGGCUAACUACGUG